rnacentral:rRNA from 1 species
GACGAACGCUGGCGGCGUGCCUAAUACAUGCAAGUCGAACGCAGUGGGGACGGGUGAGUAACACGUGGGUAACCUCCCAUCAGAGGGGAUAACAUUUGAAACAGGGGCUAAUACGAUAGUGAAGGGUGGACCCCCGGUGCAUUAGCUAGUUGGUGAGGUAAAGGCUUACCAAGGCCACGAUGCAUAGCCGACCUGAGAGGGUGAUCGGCCACACUGGGACUGAGACACGGCCCAGACUCCUACGGGAGGCAGCAGUAGGGAAUCUUCGGCAAUGGACGAAAGUCUGACCGAGCAACGCCGCGUGAGUGAAGAAGGUUUUCGGAUCGUAAAACUCUGUUGUUAGAGAAGCGGUAUCUAACCAGAAAGCCACGGCUAACUACGUGCCAGCCGCCGCGGUAAUAC